CAGUCGCCGCGGGAAUGCGUAGGUGGCAAGCGUUGUCCGGAAUUAUUGGGCGUAAAGGGUGCGUAGGCAGCGGGGUAAGUCUGAUGUGAAAUCCCGGGGCUCAACCCUGGAACUGCAUUGGAUACUGCCUUGCUUGAGAACUGGAGAGGAGACUGGAAUUUACGGUGUAGCAGUGAAAUGCGUAGAGAUCGUAAGGAAGACCAGUGGCGAAGGCGAGUCUCUGGACAGAUUCUGACGCUGAGGCACGAAGGCCAGGGGAGCAAACGGGAUUAGAUACCCCGGUAGUCCCUGUCUCUUAUAC
rnacentral:rRNA from 1 species